rnacentral:rRNA from 1 species
AGCGGCGGACGGGUGAGUAACGCGUGGGUAACCUGCCUCAUACACAUGGAUAGCAUACCGAAAGGUAUGCUAAUACAAGAUGAUAUAAGAGAUUCGCAUGGAUUUCUUAUCAAAGCUCCGGCGGUAUGAGAUGGACCCGCGUCUGAUUAGCUAGUUGGUAAGGUAACGGCUUACCAAGGCGACGAUCAGUAGCCGACCUGAGAGGGUGAUCGGCCACAUUGGAACUGAGACACGGUCCAAACUCCUACGGGAGGCAGCAGUGGGGAAUAUUGCACAAUGGGCGAAAGCCUGAUGCAGCAACGCCGCGUGAGCGAUGAAGGCCUUCGGGUCGUAAAGCUCUGUCCUCAAGGAAGAUAAUGACGGUACUUGAGGAGGAAGCCCCGGCUAACUACGUGCCAGCAGCCGCGGUAAUACGUAGGGGGCUAGCGUUAUCCGGAUUUACUGGGCGUAAAGGGUGCGUAGGUGGUUUCUUAAGUCAGGAGUGAAAGGCUACGGCUCAACCGUAGUAAGCUCUUGAAACUGGGAAACUUGAGUGCAGGAGAGGAAAGUGGAAUUCCUAGUGUAGCGGUGAAAUGCGUAGAUAUUAGGAGGAACACCAGUAGCGAAGGCGGCUUUCUGGACUGUAACUGACACUGAGGCACGAAAGCGUGGGGAGCAAACAGGAUUAGAUACCCUGGUAGUCCACGCCGUAAACGAUGAGUACUAGGUGU